rnacentral:rRNA from 1 species
GACGAACGCUGGCGGCGUGCCUAAUACAUGCCAGUAGAACGCACAGUUUAUACCGUAGCUUGCUACACCAUAGACUGUGAGUUGCGAACGGGUGAGUAACGCGUAGGUAACCUGCCUGGUAGCGGGGGAUAACUAUUGGAAACGAUAGCUAAUACCGCAUAAUAUUAAUUAUUGCAUGAUAAUUAAUUGAAAGGUGCAAUUGCACCACUACCAGAUGGACCUGCGUUGUAUUAGCUAGUAGGUGAGGUAACGGCUCACCUAGGCGACGAUACAUAGCCGACCUGAGAGGAUGAGCGGCCACACUGGGACGGAGACACGGCCCAGACUCCUACGGGAGGCAGCAGUAGGGAAUCUUCGGGAAUGGACGAAAGUCUGACCGAGCAACGCCGAGUGAGUGAAGAAGGUUUUCGGAUCGUAAAGCUCUGUUGUAAGAGAAGAACGGGUGUGAGAGUGGAAAGUUCACACUGUGACGGUAUCUUACCAGAAAGGGACGGCUAACUACGUG